rnacentral:rRNA from 1 species
CAGCCGCCGCGGUAAUACGGAGGAUCCAAGCGUUAUCCGGAUUUAUUGGGUUUAAAGGGUGCGUAGGCGGAUUAGUAAGUCAGUGGUGAAAGCCUGCAGCUUAACUGUAGAAUUGCCAUUGAUACUGCUAGUCUUGAAUAUAGUUGAGGUGGGCGGAAUAUGACAUGUAGCGGUGAAAUGCUUAGAUAUGUCAUAGAACACCAAUUGCGAAGGCAGCUCGCUAAGCUAUUAUUGACGCUGAGGCACGAAAGCGUGGGGAGCAAACAGGAUUAGAUACCCUGGUAGUCCACGCCCUAAACGAUGAAUACUCGAUGUUGGCGAUACACAGUCAGCGUCUAAGCGAAAGCAUUAAGUAUUCCACCUGGGGAGUACGGUCGCAAGACUGAAACUCAAAGGAAUUGACGG